CACCAUUAUUUUUGUAACUUAACAUUUCGUUUAUUGUUUACAUUCUGUUUGUUUACUUUGUUAGUCUUGUCAAGUAUCAGCUGUCAAAUUCGACACACAGGAUAGAUUUUCAGUUGUUGUCUGUGGUCCUUUGAGAAAACUCGUGCUAGAUCGUCAUCGGACAGUGGUCAGUGGCGACAUGACGCUCAGAACAAUGAUCGUGCUGACUGGCCACAGAGUAGUUUUGUGACGAUGAGCUGACAUCCCCGGUGACGGCUUUUUUCGGAACUGGCAAGGAGGCAAACCAUUCUCUGUCAGAACGUCUCGAGUCUCGAGUAAAUGUGUGGUUAGAUUUUUCUUCCCGCCCGCGUGGCGCAGGCCGUAUUGGUACCAAGUUCCUUGCUUCAUAUUUCCUGUUACCAGAUACGUGCCACAGACACCCACGCAGCAUCACACCAUGUGUACCUAACCUGAAUUGCCGACAAUUUCAAUCCUGCCCGGUGAAGCGUGCGAUUGCCAGACGCGUGUCACCUGACCCAACCCCAAGAAGGUGUCGUUGGUGACCAGAGCCGUCAGCGAGCCACGAGCCGUCCGGAGCUCCUGUCCUGGCCCCGUCCGACAGUCCAGGUUGGCCGUUGUAUGUUCAUUGAGCGGAUACUGAGGAAUUUCCUUAGGAUUUCUAUUAAUCUUCAGCGGCAUCAGCCUUCUAACGCCGCUGCUGAAUGUAGGAUUGCAAAGGCAGAACCCGGGUGGACUUUAGCGGGUUAAAACCUUUAUUUUAUUUUUUUUACUUCGUAGGGAGCCCCGUUAGAACGGGCAGUAGUAUCAAAAUUGCACUUUGAACCUUUUGUAGGCGCUAGGCUAUCAACGUCCUUCGGUUACGGGGCCUUAACGUUAAACUGCUAUCCCAUUGAAGUAAUAUAGAAGUUUCUCUGGGGUUAAUACCAUCUUUCUAUCCCUGUGGCGUGAAACACAGGGGUAGAACCUUUGGUUUCCCCACUUUAAUGUAAUUUCCUUGCAAUACCUUGUAUACUUCAACCAGACUAUUAUAAGGACUUAAUCCCUGGUCUCAUUUUAGACCUAUUUGAGUUAUAAAAUAUUGUGUGAGGCAGGGUUUUGAUAAAUAAAUAUUAAUAACUGUACCACA